rnacentral:rRNA from 1 species
GGGUCAGUAGGUUGGUCUUGCCACCGGUACGUACUGGUCUCACUGAUUCCUCCUUCCUGAAUAACCGUAAUGCCAUUAAUUUGGUGUUGCGGGGAAACAGGACUGUUACUUUGAAAAAAUUAGAGUGUUUAAAGCAAGCUAACGCUUGAAUACAUUAGCAUGGAAUAAUGAAAUAGGACGAUCGAUCCUAUUUUGUUGGUUUCUAGGAUUGACGUA